AAAUUGAAGAGUUUGAUCAUGGCUCAGAUUGAACGCUGGCGGCAGGCCUAACACAUGCAAGUCGAGCGGUAGCACAGAGAGCUUGCUCUCGGGUGACGAGCGGCGGACGGGUGAGUAAUGUCUGGGAAACUGCCUGAUGGAGGGGGAUAACUACUGGAAACGGUAGCUAAUACCGCAUAACGUCGCAAGACCAAAGUGGGGGACCUUCGGGCCUCAUGCCAUCAGAUGUGCCCAGAUGGGAUUAGCUAGUAGGUGGGGU
rnacentral:rRNA from 1 species